ensembl:lncRNA
AGCUGCUUUGCCCGUUGAUCGAACGCCUGCCAUGGUUUCUGGCCACCCGUCCUCAGGAUGUCGGGCACACGUGUCUCCCUCAAGCUCUCUGCUGUAGAUGGAGUAGAACUGUGUUACACCAGAAAACAACAGGGACCUAUGGAAACAGAGGUAAGAGGAAUACAAAGAAGGAACGAAGAUGCCAGCAAAAUGGCUACAAACGUUGAGAUGAAUGUGCACCAAGGGACUGCAAAGGUAACAGAUCCCUCUGAAGGUGCCCUGGGCAUUUGCUCUGACUCAAUCAUGGAUAAGAACGUUUGGCCUGUCUCGAUGAUGGUAUUUAAUGCCUUGAAUUUCCCUGACUCAGUAACCCUUUGACGUAUGUGGAAAACAAGGCAAACAUGAAAUGAGGCAACAUUCCAGUUGUUCAGGAAGUGCCUGCCUUUGAAGAGAACCAGGAAGUCACACCCUCAACGCCCCUCAGUUUUUCAGGUACGAAAACAGACUUCUUGAAGGAAAAGGAGGACCAGGACUGCAGCAGGAG